UGUGUGAGUGAUGAGAACAAAAAUCUUGUGU
rnacentral:piRNA from 1 species